UACGUAGGGAGCAAGCGUUUGUCCGGAAUCAUUGGGCGUAAAGCGCGCGUAGGCGGCCCUGUAAGUCCGUUGUGAAAGUCAAAGGCUCAACCUUUGAAAGCCGAUGGAUACUGCAGGGCUAGAGUCCGGAAGAGGCGAGUGGAAUUCCGUGGUGUAGCGGUGGAAUGCGCAGAUAUCAGGAGGAACACCAAUAGCGAAGGCAGCUCGCUGGGACGGUACUGACGCUAAGGCGCGAAAGCGUGGGGAGCGAACAGG
rnacentral:rRNA from 1 species